GAUGAACGCUGGCGGCGUGCCUAAUACAUGCAAGUCGAGCGAACAGAUGAGGAGCUUGCUCCUCUGACGUUAGCGGCGGACGGGUGAGUAACACGUGGAUAACCUAUCUAUAAGACUGGGAUAACUUCGGGAAACCGGAGCUAAUACCGGAUAAUAUAUUGAACCGCAUGGUUCAAUAGUGAAAGACGGUUUUGCUGUCACUUAUAGAUGGAUCCGCGCCGCAUUAGCUAGUUGGUAAGGUAACGGCUUACCAAGGCAACGAUGCGUAGCCGACCUGAGAGGGUGAUCGGCCACACUGGAACUGAGACACGGUCCAGACUCCUACGGGAGGCAGCAGUAGGGAAUCUUCCGCAAUGGGCGAAAGCCUGACGGAGCAACGCCGCGUGAGUGAUGAAAGUCUUCGGAUCGUAAAACUCUGUUAUUAGGGAAGAACAAAUGUGUAAGUAACUAUGCACGUCUUGACGGUACCUAAUCAGAAAGCCACGGCUAACUACGUG
rnacentral:rRNA from 1 species